rnacentral:rRNA from 1 species
ACGCUCGACACCUACGGGAGGCAGCAGUGGGGAAUAUUGCACAAUGGGGGAAACCCUGAUGCAGCGACGCCGCGUGAAGGAAGAAGUAUCUCGGUAUGUAAACUUCUAUCAGCAGGGAAGAAAAUGACGGUACCUGACUAAGAAGCCCCGGCUAACUACGUGCCAACAGCCGNGGUAAUCUGAGGCGGGCUGGCAAGGC